CCCUUAGAUGUUCUGGGCCGCACGCGCGCUACACUGACGAAUUCAACGAGCUUAUAACCUUGGCCGAAAGGUCUAGGUAAUCUCCAAAAUUCGUCGUGAUGGGGAUAGAUUAUUGCAAUUAUUAAUCUUCAACGAGGAAUGCCUAGUAAGCGCAAGUCAUCAGCUUGCGUUGAUUACGUCCCUGCCCUUUGUACACACCGCCCGUCGCACCUACCGAUUGGAUGGUCCGGUGAAGCCUCGGGAUUGUGGUUCUUGCCGCUUUAUUGUGGCGUGACCGCGAGAACUUGUCUAAACCUUAUCAUCUAGAGGAAGGUGAAGUCGUAACA
rnacentral:rRNA from 1 species